rnacentral:rRNA from 1 species
AUGCCAUGGCAAAGCUGGUCGGUCUGCAAUUCAAAUUCCAGCACAAGUGUGGACUUGAUAAGGGCGCCGCCGACGCCCUCUCGCGUGUGGCAAGCAGCUCGAUCUGGCUGCGCUCUUAGGUGCGAGCCGGCAUGGAUUCAGGAGGUGCUCAACUCCUACUCCAUGGAUCCAGACACCCAAGAUCGCCUUCAGAAGCUCACCAUCACUAGCCCCGGCGACGACGGAUACGAGCUGCACCACGGAGUCAUCUGCUGCGACGAUCGGCUGUGGAUCGGCGCCAACACGACGCUCCGCACCAAGCUCAUCUCCGUGCUCCACAACAGCGUGGUCGGCGGCCACUCGGGCUACACGGCGACGUACCAGCGCAUGCGCAAGCACUUCGACCGCCCCGGUGCCAAGCUCGCCUUCAAGUUCUUCGGGCCGUACACAAUCGUCGAGAAGAUCGGACUCAUGGCGUACAAGCUCAACCUUCCGGAGUCCAGCUGCGUGCACCCACUCUUCCAUGUGUCCCAAUUCAAGCCAUUCACGUCAGAUUACAUGCCAGUGCCGCUAGUUCCUGACCUGUCUGUGGCAAGCACAGCACCCACGCGCCUCCUGGAGCGGCGCAUGAUGAAAAGGGGCAUUUUAGCAAUUGUGCAGAUCAAAGGUGCAAUGAGGUGA